GACGAACGCUGGCGGCGUGCUUAACACAUGCAAGUCGAACGGAAAGGCCCUGCUUUUGUGGGGUGCUCGAGUGGCGAACGGGUGAGUAACACGUGAGUAACCUGCCCUUGACUUUGGGAUAACUUCAGGAAACUGGGGCUAAUACCGGAUAGGAGCUCCUGCUGCAUGGUGGGGGUUGGAAAGUUUCGGCGGUUGGGGAUGGACUCGCGGCUUAUCAGCUUGUUGGUGGGGUAGUGGCUUACCAAGGCUCUGACGGGUAGCCGGCCUGAGAGGGUGACCGGCCACAUUGGGACUGAGAUACGGCCCAGACUCCUACGGGAGGCAGCAGUGGGGAAUAUUGCACAAUGGGCGGAAGCCUGAUGCAGCAACGCCGCGUGCGGGAUGACGGCCUUCGGGUUGUAAACCGCUUUCGCCUGUGACGAAGCGUGAGUGACGGUAAUGGGUAAAGAAGCACCGGCUAACUACGU
rnacentral:rRNA from 1 species